UCUUGGCUCCAUGCUUGUGUGACUAGACAUUACCCAUAUCACAUACCACGUUUGGGCAUUUAUUCUUUUAGCCCAUCAGUAGGCUUUAUUCUGUUUCCAGGGUAUGGUGACUAAUCGUUUUUAAUUUAGAAUUCUCUGGAGCUUCUGACUGAUUCUUCUUGUCAGCAAUUGGCAAAUUUCAUUCACAUUCUAGUAAAAUGAUGCCAGCCUCUUUUCACUAGUAAAAUCGGGUCUAAUUUCAGCUUGUAAGUUGUAGUAUGUCUCCCAUCUCCUCCUUUCCCUUGUUUCCCACCUUCUCUUUUCCUGUUUGUCUCCUCCUCACAUCUACCCCCUCUCCUUUCAUGUGUUAGAGUGAGGAGGCUAAUAUUUGAUUUCACAGCUUUUGCUGAGUUUGCCAACAGUGGUAUUGACUAGGCUGUAAUUUUUAAGAACCGUAGGGACAGCUUUAUUUCGGAUGAAGAGGAUUUGAAUGAGUACAGGUGUGAAAAACCUGCAUCAUAUCUUAUAAAUCCUCAUAAGGUCCCUAAGUCUCUUCCAGAGCAUAGUGUGAUUUGUCAGUUGUCACCCUUCCUGAGCUGCAGAUGUCAUUAAUCAUGAGAGGGAAAAGUUCCCAUUUAAAUGUUUGAUCAUUUGUCUUCAGAAAACAUGAUUUUCAACUCUUUUAGAGUCACAGAACAUGUAAGCAGUAAUGAGUUGGAGUCCCAUCGGCAGUACCCGAGGCUGGGUAGUGGUCACAGUGAAACACAGGCUGACUGGCCUUAGGCUGGACACUGCUCACCCAGCCCUGGGGGCCUUGGACUGUGCCCCUGCUGGGGUGCUGAGUGGCAGAGGGCCCAUAGUGGACUCUGUCUCUGUCUGGUGCAUUUCCUGGGAAGGUUUAACCCCUGUUUUUGUUGUUGUGAUAAACAGAUUUAUUAUUGACCAAGAAUUUGAAUGAAAGAUUAAAAACAGGACAUUUUCUUCAUGCAUAGAUUGUUUCCUUCUAUUUAAUUAAAUUGCAAAAGCUCUGGGAGUCUUAUGGAUGUGUACAUACCAAAAAAAAGUGUUUCGUGUGCUAGUUUUGAAACUGGAAGAAAGUGCUACUGCUUUAGGAUUCUCUUUUUCUUGAUUUUGUAGUUUUUGUAGACCAUAAUUAUGAGCGGCCCAAGAAAUGGCAAAAAGACAGGAAAAAAAAAAAAAAUGAAAUUGGCUGAAGAAGGUCUCUUCAGUUUUGAAGUAUUUUUAAUGUAGUUUUUUGCCUAAAUGAAUGAAUUGAAAAUCCAUUAGUUAUUUUUCUCUAAUACAUGAUAUGUGUUUUAAGAUUUUUUCCCACAGCCUCAAAGAAUUCUCUUGUUGGAAGUAUUUUAGUGACCAAAGUUUUUCCUGUUGAAAUGUUCAGUUUUAUAAAUUUUGUUGCCUUGAAACUUAAAGACCUUCAAGGAAGGUUUUUGUUCCGGGCUGGAUUCCGAUACUCUUGAAUCUUAAGAACUGUGUGGAGGAAAAUGAAGAAGGAAGAUUGUUGCUGAAAACCACGUGGGUAGUGCUUUACUGUUUACAACUCCAGUGAAGACGUGACGGCCCUGCCUGGCCUGCAGGGUAGCUCUCUUGAGUUUGAAUAUGAGGAUAGCUUAAAGUUAUUUCAGAAACCAUCCUGCUUCAGGCUGGAUAUUGAUGCAUAGAAGUCAUAUUACCUCAAGCAUGAAGGAAAAUAGAAUAAAUUUGAAUGCUCCUUGAAAGGUUUAGUUUAAAAUGGUGAGAUUCUGACCCUUGGAGGAUUCUACAGAGUCUAACACUUUGCUCACAUAAGCAGAAUUCUGUACUCUCCCCGUGGCGGGGUGGAGAGGGCACCUCUCUAGGUGGAUUCCCCCAAGUUAGUGAACCUUUCAUCUUGCUUUGGAGUUUUUAAGGAAAUGUUGCAUUUUAGGAUAGAAGUCACUGUUGGUUUUUUAAGGGAGUUCAGUAGCCAUGACUUGGAUUUAUUUUAGUUGUGGCCACUGACUUUGGAUUUGUACUGAAGGCUUUUUUUGUCUUUUCAGUGGAGUUUGCAGUAUUGUAUAGAAAAACUGCAUAUUUCUUUAAAUGUUUUUAUUGAAUCUUGCUUAAACUGGACACUCUCUUCUGUUUCUCAGAGUUCUCCCUCUCCUGGUCAGCACCCUGAAUUCUGUUUUACUGUCUUUGUCCUUUGUUGAGAGGAUUAGAUUGCCAUGAACUUUGAGAGCAGAUACUAUUUUUCUUGUGAAAACUUAUGUAAAUUCUGUCACUUUCUAUGCUUUAUUUAAGGUAAUGCAAAAUAUGUUCAAAGCAGAUGCCAAAAUUUUUAGUUUUCAUUCGUCAAAUAUUAUAGCUGGAUUUUUUGAAGCUUUUAAAAACCUCUAAUAACUGGAUUAGCAAUUUAAAAUUCAGGCUUAUUUAAUGUGGAAGACUUUUGAAUGAUCAGUGCUCAUUUUGAAACAUUUUAAAUUAUACAUAUAUGCAUAGGUAUGUAAAUGUGUGUAUGUGUAUAUAGGUUUUUUUAAUUUUUAUAUAUUUUUUUGGUCUGUGUUUUCUGGUAUUUCCCUUUGGAAGUUUCAGAAAAUACAGAAAAGUGUCAGUCAGAAAAUUAAAGUUACUUAGGAUCCCAUCACAUAGAAAUAACUGCUAUUUAUUUUCCAGGAAAUAGCUUCCCAUCACUUUUUCUAGUUCAAAUUGUAUUGUAUCUUUAGGAGAAUCUUCUAAGCCAAACUUGCAGCCAAGGCUCCUGUAAAGAGUAUUGAUUAUUAGUUGAUAGCAAGAGAGAAAUGUAAGAAAAGGAGUUAGAGAUUGAGGCUUGGUUUGGGAUCACAUUCCCCUUUAAUCCUCUCCUUUGAAAAGUAGCUGUUUGCAGAGGCUGACUUAUUUUGAAGCUUGGACAUCCAUUCCUCCGUGCCCUGGACUCGGGAGUUCUCUCUUGAUUGCAGAUAUCCAGCCUUCUGACUAAUCCCAUCUUCCUGAGGUCUCUUGUCAUCUAGGGGAUACCUUUGACUCUUGACUGGCAGCACUUUGAGUGAUUCCAUUGACGAACAAGAGUGUACAGUAACCAUGUUUUCCAAAUUAAAUUGCUUCCCAGUAGCCUUAUUUGUUCAUUCUCUGUGAGGCUCACUCCGUCUAAAUCGUUUCCCUAUAGUAAUUCCUACAGAAAAAUCUUAAAGUAAGACCUUUCGUCUUGCACUUAACAGCAAAAUUCGAAAACUAUUUUUGUGCAGAGUAAAUAUUCUCAGAGCAGAAAUAAUGCUAGGUUGGCCUCAGUGGCACCAGAGCCUUGUGUGGCUCCUCUGAUGUCGAGAAAUGUCUGCUUCUCUGACUUGGUGUCAAUGUGAAAGUGGUGGAAUUACGAGGACUAGUUAUUGUUUGCUGAAGUCAAGUGCAUCUUGUCAGUUAAUGAGUCGUGCUGCUGUGCUGAUCAGCACCUCGGAGGUCACACUGCUCACUGACCCCCAUGCUCGAGGGCGCUUUCCAUUCCAUGUGUCCUUUCCUUCGCAGGCGGAAUUUGCAGAGAACCCCCCGCCCACUGCCAGAGCCCUAACUAUCUUGGCCGUGAGUUGUUCAUUCUACCAGACUUAAUGGUCAACACGUUUCUUUCUCACUUUUUUGAGCUUACAGGAAAAAUUGCAGUAAACUCAAUGGAAGAAAUUAAACUCGUACAUUAAAAAAGUUGUUUUUCUUUGUUUUUAUUUUUGGGUUUUUUUUUUUUUCCCUUUUUCCUCACCGAAAAUAGUAAUUCCUUGAAGCGAAGUAAUUACAUAUGCUAGUGUGUAAAUGGUUUUGAUUUUCAUCAAUAUUUUGUUUAAGCAGUUAAUAAGGGACAGUGGUGACACAACCAGAUCUAUCAUAAUUCCCUAUAGACACGGUUUCUCGUUUUACAGGUGCUGAAGGAUAGUUUUUGUAAAGGUAAAAUCAUCACUCCCAGGUAAAUAUAAAAUGAACCUGUGUCAAAGAUUUUACUUAACUCUUGAAAUUAAUGAGGAAAUAGUCCAAAGAGCAGCUGAGAAAUUAGGCAUAUAUAGACAGUUUAUCAAAGAGAUGUUUCUGGGUUAGAUUGAAAAUUGGUUAAUUCCUACCAGAGCCACCAAUCUUGACAGCUUUUGCAUCUCAUUUGGCUAAAUUUCUCACAGAACUCACAGUUCACAAACUACCCUCAUUCUGGGACAUUGGUCCAGAGUAAACAGUGGGUUGCAUUGGGUAUGUUGGCUUGGUGUGCCUUUGACCUCCCUGUUCGACAUUAAAAGAUGUGCAUGGAUGUCUUCCAAGUUUGCGUACCUUUUUCUGAUACGAAGAAAAGGAAAAAAAAUUAAAAAAGAAGGGGCAUGAUGUUUGCUUUCAUAACAAGAAAACAAAGGGAAAAGUUUAGGAAAAAAGAAGGUGGAUUUGGCAAGAAGUGCUUUGCUUUGAUAAUGUUUGAUGUAAAAAGCCAAACACAUUUCAUGUUAUAGAAGAAACAUGUUCUUUCUUUGUCUCCUGAUCUGUAAUGUGGGUGCUUUUCCAACAACCAGUGGAGGAGCUUAGCUGUGGGUGACUCACUCAUGUUCUAGGGCCUGUGUGUCCACAGCCAAGUGGGAUGAACUCUUAGUGCAGCCAUGAUGCAGCACACAUUUGUGAGCCUCAGCUCUCAUGUAAGGAAUAACAGUUAUUUUAAAAAAGUAUUAAAAAUGUCAACAUGGCCAUGUAAUUCCACUGGAAUACUGCUAAGUGAACUUUGUGUGAACUCUGUGAUGCGGAAUCUUAGCCGUUUGGGAGGUCAUCUUGUUACCUGGAUGAGGAGCCUGAAGUGCAGCUUAUUGGCUGAUUCUGGGAGGAACAAGGACGAAAAUCCAUGCUUCUUGCUGUUGAUCCAACACUGUGGCCUUUUACAUGUUGCAUAAUUAGAAAAUUAUAAAUCUUUGAUAUUUAUUUUGUGCUUAUUUUGCUAAUUCUGUGCAAGAUAUUUAAACUACAAAAAAAGUUAACACAGUCUGUACUCUUGAUGGGUUUAAGAUCUAGCUGAAGAGACUGAUACUAUUAUUUCUUAAAGGAUUCACAACACAUGGAACGACAAUACACAGGAUGUAACGAGUGAUUAAUAGAUAUAAGUUCUGCAGGAAUUUAGAAGGAAGGGGUCAGAGGAAGAUACUAAAAAGGUAAACAGCCCUGGGAAGCAGCAUGUGGAAGUGCCCUGAGGGCUAGAGAAGCAUUUCUUUUCUCCAGGGGCAGAUUUGGAGGAGCCCCUUGCCCACUUUAGUCACUUCAUGUAAUCCAGUGGCAGGUGUACCAAUCAUUUUGGUCCUGCUGUUGGUGUAAUACUUUUACUUGCUGGUGCUAUUAAUGGUUAAUUUACAUGGAAUUUUGGUUCAUUAGUCAUAUAUUUAAAAACUGUGGGUGACCCAGACAGUCCGUCCAAGUAGCUUCAUAGAUAGUGUUGGGAAUGGUGGCCAUACAUAAUCUUGUCUGGUCACGUGGCAGGCAGCGACUUACAAAUAUAUUUCCUGAAAGGCGCAUUAGUGGAAUAAGAGUCCUGGUAUUGUGGUGUCUACAGUUAAAUGUGUCUCUGUUACUCAUGGGAGUGGCAUGGUUUGUAAAGCAGGGCAGAAGAGUUCACGGAUGCACUCAUUUUUCGAGGGCAUUUUGUACUUUUGUUUUAGCAGAAAAGUUAACAUUUUGAUUGAUGUAUUUAUCAAGGUUAUAAGAAGCAAAAGCUAAAAUUAAUAUUUCACAAUUUUAAUUGCUUUUGCUUGGCUCCUCUCUGCAUGUUAUGCAUUCUGAUUUUUAAAUAUUUAACAUUUCAUCUCGGGGGUAAAGUAGAAGUGAAAUAACUUGGAGCGUAGCUUUCUGUCCAUGGUAGUCCUCCCUGCCCCUUUUGAAGCAGAGUGAUGUUCAUGUUAGGGCUUUCUAGCAUUAAGAGAAAUUAUUUGCUAAGGUGGCAGUUUUUCUAAACUCUAACAGCACUUAGAGGGUGAACAUUUAUAAGGCGUGACUUCAUGGUGUGUGUUGUGUGGUAGAUAUAACUGAUAAUUCUCCUUUCUCCCGUUGACUGUCUAAUUUCUAACUGUUAUGACAUGUUUUUCUGAAGUGUACUUUGCAGUAGCUUUAGGCAGAUUGGAAGAGGUGGGCAUUUUUGUGUUUGCCAACGUUCUAGUGCUGGAAGGGAUUCAGGGUAACUCUAGGGUAGCCCUCUGUUUUUGUAAUUGAAGAAAAUGAGAUCCUAUCUGGAGAUAGAACCCUCCCCCCAUGCACAUAUAUGUACAUCUAUAAAUGUUUCUAUAUCCAUCUCUGUGUAUUGUUUGUGUAUGUAAUGAAAUAAUACCUUCAGUUCGAACUAAGCAUCUUGGAGUUCUUUCUUUGUAACUACUUUCUCUGGCAGUGAGAAACACAGCCCCCACUAUCCUUAAUGUAGUGUCUUAUUUGUUCAAUCAAAGGUGACUUGCAGAAGGCAGGCCUGCCUACCCGCUGCACUGCUGUGCCAGUCCCUGCCACUGCCUUGCCUGGCCCGGGGCUGCCUCUCUGUGGUGUCUGUGGCUACCCCAGCUGCUAUGCCAACGCGUCUGUGCUGGCAGCAGAAAGGAAGAAAAAUUCGAAUUCUUUAACGUUUCCCAGAUGUUACCCUCAGCCCUGCCACAUUUCCUUGAGAGUUUCUUUAUUUUUGAGAUUCUUCUCGAUGUUGCGGCCUGAGAACCCCAGGUACUUGCUCAUUCCUGUGGUUGGUCCUGGCUCCUGUUUGCACAGGGCAGAGGGUCAAGCUCUCAUUAUUUGACCAGAGGGGCUGGAAUUUUUGCCCACUAGAGAGAAUGAGCUGGCUCUCCCCCAGCCUCAUGCUCUGCAGCAGAGUUGCUGCGGGUCUGGGCUCGUUUCUGAUGGUGGGGGGGAGGCUCAGCCGCGGCGUUACAGCUCUUCAGUUCCAGCUCCUCUGCAUCCACAGACAGAGAGUCCCUUCUUGAUAUUCAUGCCUCAAAGCCCUAGCCAGCACUGUCUGAAAAUUCCUCUGGUCAAAACGUUAGCAUCUGAUCCUCAAGGAUCAGAGGAGUCCAUUGUGUUCCUUUACUCUGUUCCUACUGCUCUUUUUCAUGCCUCAAAAUGAUAAGCAAUGCUUCUUUUUGGUUGCAGGUAACAUAAAACUUGCCUCAGAAUAGCUUGAACAAGGAGAGUGUAUCUGAUCGUAUAACUGACAAAACCCAGAGUUGGGUGGCCUUAGGCCAAGGCUCUGGCUUCAUUUCUUUGUGAUUCUCUUGGCUCUGUUCUCUCUCUGUCAGCUUUGACCUUGGGUAGCUUCUUUCGUGUUAGCAAAAUGGCUGCAGUGGUUCCAGGCUUCACGUCCACCUACCACAUGGUUCAGAAAGGAAAACAUUUUGGUUUUAUGCUGAUUGGACCAACUCAGGUCAUGUGUUCAUCCCAGAAUCCAGGACUGUUGCAGGGGGUGGGGGUGAGAUUACGCUGAUUGGUUCAGGCCUGUUCCUACUUUACCUGUAGAGCUGAGGGUAAAGUCAGUCAGUUUCAUCCUGAACAGCUGAGGUUCACAAAAUAAUCUUCAUGGAAUAGUGAUCAUAACUUCAGCUUUCAUAGCACUUAGGGCAGUAUAUUUAUUCAUUAAAAAUAGCUGUAAGAGGAGUUCCUGUCGUGGUGCAGCGGAAACAAAUCCAACUAGGAACCAUGAGGUUGCGGGUUCGAUCCCUGGUCUUGCUCAGUGGGUUAAGGAUCUGGCAUUGCUGUGAGCUGUGGUGUAGGUUGCCGACGUGGCUCGGAUCUGGUGUGGCUGUGGCUGUGGUAUAGGCCGGCAGCUGUAGCUCCCAUUUGACCCCUAGCC
rnacentral:lncRNA from 1 species